rnacentral:rRNA from 1 species
UACGGAGGGUGCAAGCGUUGUUCGGAAUCAUUGGGCGUAAAGCGCGUGUAGGCGGCUUGGUAAGUCGGGUGUGAAAUCCCGGGGCCCAACCCCGGAAUUGCACUCGAAACUGCCUCGCUAGAGUCCCGGAGAGGAAGGCGGAAUUCCCGGUGUAGAGGUGAAAUUCGUAGAUAUCGGGAGGAACACCAGCGGCGAAGGCGGCCUUCUGGACGGUGACUGACGCUCAGACGCGAAAGCGUGGGGAGCAAACAGG